rnacentral:lncRNA from 1 species
GGCAGGGGUCGGGCGCCUGUGGCGGAGCCGGGCUGGGGCCAGGGCAGGGAGGCUGACAAGCGGCGGGAGAAGCCGGCGGAGGGCGGGAUCGCGCCUCCUGACAUGUUGGGGGUAUCCCUGGCCGGGCCGGGCCGGGGCUAAGAGCGGCGCUGCGGGCCGGGGUCGGGGUCGGGUCGCGGUCCGCCCCCGCUGUCCCUCCGUCCUGCCCUGUCGAGGACGUGCGUUCCGCACUCGGCCGCCUCCAGAGGGAGCGAGGGAAGCGGCUAGAGGAUCGGGGAGAAGGAGCAUUCGCCGGAGGCUGGAGGAGGCUGACCCGCGUCCCCGCCCAGCCUGCUCCUAUGCGGUACUUGAAGGAUGGCGAAGAGGUCGCGCAGGUGGGUGGCACCCCUUUCGCCCAGGCCUGUCGGCGCCGUCUCGGCUCAGAUUCUCUUUCCUAUCCCGCUGCCCCCUCCCGCCAUAAGGCCCUCCCUGGCGAGGGCAGAGGUUUUUCUUCCCGCGUCCC